AUUGAACGCUGGCGGCAGGCCUAACACAUGCAAGUCGAGCGGAGCGGCGGACGGGUGAGUACUGCCUAGGAAUCUACCUGGUGGUGAGGGAUCACGUCCGGGGACGUGCGCUAAUACCGCAUACUAUCAGAUGACCCUAGGUCGGGUUAGCUAGUUGGUGGGGUAAAGUCCUACCAAGGUGACGAUCCGUAGCUGGGCUGAGAGGAUGAUCAGUCAAACGGGAACUGAGACACGGUCCAGACUCCUACGGGAGGCAGCAGUGGGGAAUAUGGGACAAUGGGCGAAAGCCUGAUCCAGCCAUGGCGCGUGUGUGAAGAAGGUCUUCGGAUUGUAAAGCACUUUAAGUUGGGAGGCGUUACCAACAGAGUAAGCACCGGCUAACUUCGUGCCAGCAGCCGCGGUAAUAC
rnacentral:rRNA from 1 species